UACGAAAGGGGCUAGCGUUGUUCGGAAUUACUGGGCGUAAAGCGCACGUAGGCGGCCUUGUAAGUUGGGGGUGAAAUCCCCGGGCUCAACCCGGGAACUGCCUUCAAGACUGCAAAGCUCGAGGACGCGAGAGGUUAGCGGAAUUCCGAGUGUAGAGGUGAAAUUCGUAGAUAUUCGGAAGAACACCAGUGGCGAAGGCGGCUAACUGGCGCGUUUCUGACGCUGAGGUGUGAAAGCGUGGGGAGCCAACAGG
rnacentral:rRNA from 1 species